UGGGGAAUUUUGGACAAUGGGCGAAAGCCUGAUCCAGCAAUGCCGCGUGUGUGAAGAAGGCCUUCGGGUUGUAAAGCACUUUUGUCCGGAAAGAAAUCCUUGGCUCUAAUACAGUCGGGGGAUGACGGUACCGGAAGAAUAAGCACCGGCUAACUACGUGCCAGCAGCCGCGGUAAUACGUAGGGUGCAAGCGUUAAUCGGAAUUACUGGGCGUAAAGCGUGCGCAGGCGGUUUGCUAAGACCGAUGUGAAAUCCCCGGGCUCAACCUGGGAACUGCAUUGGUGACUGGCAGGCUAGAGUAUGGCAGAGGGGGGUAGAAUUCCACGUGUAGCAGUGAAAUGCGUAGAGAUGUGGAGGAAUACCGAUGGCGAAGGCAGCCCCCUGGGCCAAAUACUGACGCUCAUGCACGAAAGCGUGGGGAGCAAACAGGAUUAGAUACCCUGGUAGUCCACGCCCUAAAACGAUGUCAACUAGUUGUGGGGAUUCAUUUCCUUAGUAACGUAGCUAACGCGUGAAGUUGACCGCCU
rnacentral:rRNA from 1 species